rnacentral:rRNA from 1 species
UACAGAGGGUGCUAGCGUUAAUCGGAAUUACUGGGCGUAAAGAGCACGUAGGUGGUUAUGUAAGUCAGAUGUGAAAUCCCCGGGCUUAACCUGGGAACUGCAUUUGAAACUGCAUGACUAGAGUAGGGUAGAGGAGAGGGGAAUUUCCGGUGUAGCGGUGAAAUGCGUAGAUAUCGGAAGGAACACCAGUGGCGAAGGCGCCUCUCUGGAUUCAUACUGACACUGAGGUGCGAAAGCGUGGGGAGCAAACAGG